rnacentral:rRNA from 1 species
CCUACGGGGGGCAGCAGUGGGGAAUAUUGCGCAAUGGGCGAAAGCCUGACGCAGCGACGCCGCGUGAGGGAUGAAGGUCUUCGGAUCGUAAACCUCUGUCAGCAGGGAAGAACGGUCACUGUGCUAAUCAGCAGUGAAUUGACGGUACCUGCAAAGGAAGCACCGGCUAACUCCGUGCCAGCAGCCGCGGUAAUACGGAGGGUGCGAGCGUUAAUCGGAAUUAAUGGGCGUAAAGCGCUCGUAGGCGGUAUGUCAAGUCAAGGGUGAAAUCCCCGGGGUCAACGUGGGAACUGCCUUGGAAACUGGCAAACUGGAGUGUGUGAGAGGAUAGUGGAAUUCCAGGUGUAGGGGUGAAAUGCGUAGAUAUAUGGAGGAACACCAGUGGCGAAGGCGACUAUCUGGCACAUAACUGACGCUGAGGAGCGAAAGCGUGGGUAGCAAACAGGAUUAGAUACCCUUGUAGUC